GUGGUAGUUCAGUUGGUUAGAAUACCGGCCUGUCACGCCGGGGGUCGCGGGUUCGAGCCCCGUCCACUCCGCCA
rnacentral:tRNA from 1 species